GCUUACGCGGUUGCCCAGAGUUAAGCGGGCCACUUAAACAGCCCGCCCAACAAAAAAAACAGUAGCUCGGCAGAAAUAAGAAGCGGGUGAAAGACAAAACCCGAAAUCCAACCCAAACCCAAACUAAACCCUAACUUUUCAGUCACACCCGAGUCCCACGCCGCCACAAAAUCUUGCGGAACUCGUCGAAGCUCCCCGAACUCCCCAAACACGUCGAACUCCUCAUCGAAGCUCCCCAAACUCCUCGUCAAAGCUCCCUGAACUCGUCGAACUCCUCGUCGAAGCUCCCCGAACUCGUCGAAGACCUCGUCGAAGCCAAUCCGAGCUCGUCUUCGAUCUCGCCCUCGAUCUCAUCGCCGCCAUUCGUCUUCGUUCUCGUCUCCGAGCUCGUCUUGGGUCUUCGAUCUCAUCUUCGGCACCAAAUAUAGUCAGCUUCGAUCUCCGUAACAAAGUAAAGGAAUGUCGAGUGCUCCAGCGAAGGAGUCCGGGUUCCACCACUAACCAUGUACCCCCCGUGAAAGAUAGAAGGAACUCAGGAGAUGUUGGUUGGGAGUUUAGAUUUUGUCCGGACCCAAAAAAUUUGAAUAUUGUGCAAUGCCGACUAUGUGGACACAAGGUGAAUGCGGGGAUCCAUCGAUUUAAGAAGCAUCUUGCCGGGCUAAGGGGGACACCAAACCAUGUUUGAAGAUUAAUGAAAAAGAUAAGCAGAGGGUGAAAGAAGUGAUUGAUGCUAAUUCGAAGAAGAAGCAAGCUAAGGAGAGGCACACUAUAGACUUAGAAGAAGAACUUCAUACGACGAGGUCGUGUGAUGAAGAAAAAGAUGAAAAUGAAAUCAUCUCUCCUUCCACAUGGAUGGAUCUUCAAAGAGGUCUAGAGAGCCUACUAUUAGGCCGAUGGACGCUUACACCUCUAGUGAUCCAGAGCUAGCGAAGAUGUUGAAAGGGAAAAUGGAGCAGACAGGAGUGAAGGAUUCUUUCUUGAAGGAGAAGAGAGAUUGAAUGCAUGAUCAGUUUGUUUCUUGGGCAUAUGAAAAUGCCAUCCCCUUUCAUGUCAUCUCUACGGAUUCCUUUUUGAAGGCAUGCAUGGCUAUUGGAGACUAUGGACCGAGCUACAGACCUUCCAGCAUGUACAUGUUGAGGGAGCCCCUAUUGCGAAGAGCUGUAGAGAGAACAAAAGUCUCCUUAAUGAUGCAUGAGGAGUGCGGCAAGACCGGAUGCUCCAUUAUGACUGAUGCUUGGUCGGAGAGAAAGAUGCGAUUGGUAAUGAAUCUUUGCAUCCACUGCAGAUUGGGGACAACUUUCCAUAAGUUCAUUAAAACCUUUGAGGAGGCACAUAUAGGGCAAUAUAUAUAUUUAAGUGGGUUAAUAAGGCUAUUGAGUAGAUUGGAGAGGUGAUAAAGUCAUUCAAGUUGUCACGAAUAAUGUAGCUGCAAAUAUGGCUGCGAAGGAGCUUUUAUAUAGGACGAGGCCGAGGAUUUUUUGGACUAGUUGUGCAGCACAUACUGUUGACAUAAUGCUUGAAAGCAUCAGGAAGUUGAGUUUAUUCAGAUGAGCAAUUAAGAAGGCGAGGACUCUUACCGUCUUUAUCUAUAGUCAUCACAAGACUUUGUCUAUAAUGUGUCGCAUUUGUGACAAAAGGGACAUCGUGAGACCUGGAGUUACUCAUUUCGCCACUAUAUUUUUGACUCUGCGGAGUCUUCUUGAGAAGAAAGGAAAGUUGAGAUAUAUGUUCUCCGAUGAAACAUGGGUGAGAUGCAAGCUUGCAAAGACCGCUAAAGACCAAAAGGUGGAGGCGAUUGCUAUGAGUGAUAGUUGGUGAACGGCGGUGGGCAAGAUCUUGAAGGUGUAUGCUCCUAUUUUUUGAUUAUUGCGGGUAGUCGAUAGUGACUACAAACCCUCCAUGGGAUUUGUGGUGGGGAUGCUUGAAGAUAUGAAGGAGAUCAUUCAAGUUUUCAACAAGGAGAAGGAUUUCAAGCCCGUGAUUGAUUGAUAUUAUAGAUGGAAAGUCCAAGGAUCGGCUCUUUUCUCCCUUGCAUAUGGCUUCUUACUACCUCAACCCUUACUAUUUCUAUAGGGAUGAUGUAGUGAAGAACUGCAAAAAGGCGAAAGAUGGAUUUCUAGAUGUGGUGGAGUUCUAUCCUGAUGUAGAGCAACAAGUUAAAAUUCAUACUCAAGCGUUGAAGAGUUACAAAGAAGGAAAGGGUUCAUUUGCUAGAAUUGGAGCGGUGAAGGCUAGAGAGAAAUCGGAACCCAGCUAAUUGGUGGUAUUUGCAUGGUGGUGAUUGUCCCCUCAAGCCAAAUAUGGCUAUGAAACUUCUCAACUUGACAAACAGCUCUUCUAGUUGUGAAAAGAAUUGGAGCACAUUUGAGGGGAUCCAUACGAAGAAGAGGAAUAUGUUAGAAUUGAAAAGGUUAGAGGAACUUGUCUAUGUGAAAUUCAACUCAAAGCUCAACCAGAAGAAGAGGGGAGAAAACAAGAACCUACUGCUAUUUAAUGAUCGUAGUAAGGCAUGAGCAUGGAUCCUAGAAGGAGCAGCAUCCGAUGAUGAGGAAGAAGUUCAUCCGGGCUCAGGCCUUACUUGGAGGAUGAUAGAGGUUAUAACGGGAGCGACUGAGGCUACGGAGAAUAUGAGGAGUUCUAGGCUAGCAGGACCUUCAAGUGCUACUUCAGGGAUGGAUGAUAAAGAAGAGCCUCUUGUCUCAGAUGAUGAUGUUUCGGACGAGGAGGAUUGUAUGGAGAUGGAGUAGAGGAGGAACUUCAUGAUGAUAUUUUAUGGAGAGGAAAACCAUAGUUUCAUGUUAUUUGCAUUGAAGUGCAUUUUCGAGAUUUUCAUCAUGUGCUUUUAUAUUACUAAAUAAAGGUUUCUUAUAAUGGGUU